GUCUACAGCCAUACCACCCUGAACAUGCCUGAUUUCAUCGAUCUCAGAAGCUGAGCAGGGUCAGGCCUGGUUAGUAUGGAUAAGAGACCAACAGAUAUGGACC
rnacentral:rRNA from 1 species